GAUUUAAAGCUGACGGGGGUCAGCUUAGCCUUUGAGUGGGGAAUUCACUCUGGUGAUUACCCCAGGGCUUAAGUGUUCUGUAAGAAAACUUAAUUUCUCCAGAUUGAUUUUCUGCUCUCUUUCAUCACCAAAUUGUUGCUAGUUCACCAAGUAUACUCCCUUAAUGUUCAAAUUCUGUGUCAUGGAAUCCGAAUAGUAGUUCAGAGGGGCAAGGUGGAAGGGGAUAUAUAGACAGGAAGGUAUGGGUUCAGUGAUGGUCCUUGUCAAUUGAAUAUGGGCAGUUUUUUCCAUUCAAAUCCUAAUCUCAUUUCAUCUAAUAAUUAUUCCUAAAUGUAGACAAGCAGUAGGACAGCCCUUUCCUGGAGAAACAAUAUAAAUGUUUGGAAAGAAAAAGAGCUUCUGUUCUAAGUGCUGUGUGUCUGAAUUCUCCAACUUGAUGGCUAAGACAAGGCAUUUGUUUGUACCUGGAGCCAGGUCAUCAUUUUCCAGUAAUCUAGUGAUACUGUUCUCCAACAUCUGGGAGGUCUCAUGACCCAGCUGCCCUUGAAUGGAUUUAAAAGGUGACUGGAACACUUCUUUCUGACCUCAGAGAUGUGAUGGAUGUCCGGGAAGAUUUUCUCAAGGGCUAGAAGUUAAGAACUUUGUUCCUACUGUUUAUCUUUUUCCCUUUCAUAUUCAAGCCACUUAACCAUACUGAGCCUCAACUUUUUCAUUUAUAAAAUGGAAAUCAUUUUAACUUUUCUCUGGAGGACAGCUGUUGCCUGCCCAUCACUAUUUCCUCCUUUUCUGGUGACAACAUCCUACUUUCCUUCAAAGAAUAAUGCCUACCCCAUUAUAAUAACUUUUACACGGGGCUGUCCCAACACAUGCUGCCUUCAAGGCUAGGUGCAUGACACAGGCCUGGCCAAUCAGUGUGUCCAAUCCCUCUGGCCACUGUGAUUGGUCCAGUUACGGGUAUAUGAUGCAGAUCAAUCCAGUAAAACUCAACCUCGUGACUUUUACUGGAACCAUCAGUCAAGACGCCUUCUUUUUCUGUGAGUUUUCCAGGCUAGGAGAAGGAAAGUUAGAGCCCUGGGAUGCCACGUCAUGAGAAAAGCCUGCCAGAGAGCAAAACUAGCACAAAGGAAAGAAAGUAUUCCAAUAAAAGGGUGACGCUGAAAGCUGAAAUGUGAAUUUGUUAAAUCCUCAAAUAGCCAACAGCUUCUAGGACAAGAUCAUACACAGUUAGGACCUCGAUAACAAUUUGUUAGUGGAAUAGAUAAGAACAUUUUAGAUCCUGUUGCUCAAUUCUGAAAUGCUGCUCUGUGUCAUGAAUAUUGGUUUAUUUUCUUUGUAGAGUGAAGUCAUUAAGACUAGAGCUCCAGGCUUCUUCAUCCAACUCCAAGGGUUCCCAGCAACAUGUGAAGUCCUCUAUCUGUCACUAAGAAGCCGUGUGAGUGAAGCAGGCUAUAUACCUUGGUUUCAACAUCUGUGAACAAGGUGUAAUGAUGGUUUUCUCAUCUUUUUUUAGGAUCGUUAUAAGAAUCUGAGACAGUGAGAGGGAAAAGAUUGUUUUCCAUUCAUUAGCUCAGGCUGGGCAUUGGAGGCAUCUCCUCUGAGCACCUGCUAAAACAGCACUGGCAAGUCACUCUUUGGAGCCAUUUCUGGAAAGAGGUUCUAUACAAAUAAAAUUAGAAAAGUCUGAAUUUAGCAUAUGAGAAAUGUUAUGGCCAUUGGUACCUAUCACUCUAAACACCAUUCUGCUUAUUCUUGUCAUGUAGGGGCAUUUGAUUUUUAAUCUAUCCACUUAAAUAUUGGCUGCUUCUAUAGACUUCCCAACCAGCAGUCCUUGUGCAGGCAAAACUCCCAUUUAACUGAAUGAAAGUAUUAAACAUAAAAUAUUGUUAGGAAGAGUCUGAUAUUGUAUUUAUCUUGCUGAUAAUUAUCUUACAUGUUUUAAUUACUCCCAGUAGUGUCCCAAGGCUGAUUAAAGGAAAAAUAUAAUUUACUCAUCGAAAUAAGAUAUUAUACAAGUAUCAAAUGAUAUUGAUAAAUAUUAAACAAUAAACUUUCCUAGAAUUCUUUCCCUAAAAAAUUGGGGACCUUAUACUUCACUAGUUAUAUAUUUCAGAGCAAGCUGGUUUAUAACAGAAUGAUAAAGGUGAUUAGAAUGAAAGAGAGGCCAUUUGGAUUGAUUCAGUUUUGCUACAUUUAUUAUAAUUUACAAUACUUUGCCAUAAAAAUAAAAUAGUUACCCAACCUCAGAUUACUGUCUUUAUAUUGUGGUUGAUUUUAUAAUUGCUGACCUUUAUCCCAUAGAUUUUUCAGGGUUAGUUAUUACUGGUUUUUACCUGAGAGAUUUGGGGGAGUUGUGUUUAUCGCUCAAAUAUCCAAUCUAAAUUUGGUUCUCUUAUAGCAAUGGAUGGAUGACUCACCUCUCAUAGGAAUGAUAGAACUUGGAUCAUCUUGUCAAUCACAGAGCUUGGUGGCCUUCUACAAAUGUUUGUGGAAUGAAUAAGUGAGAGAAUGAGAGAUUAAUAAAGCCAAUACUAUCACCAGUCCAACGAAGAGCUGCAACUGAAAAAAAAGUCUGACAAAAAAUGGCUAGUUCAAGUAGCAGUUUAUCCCAGACACGCAUCCGUGGAUAGGAGGGAGCUACACGCUUUCCUGAUAAUCUGGUUUCAUAUGAAGACAAAGGUUAAAGUAGGACAGACGAGUGAUACUCUACCAAAGAUUUUGAGUAUUCUUAACAUUCCCAUUUUUCCACUAAGAGCAGGACAAAGGCAGGUGAGUUUGCUGAUUUAUACUGAUUGAUCAGAAUGCAUGUCUUUGGCCUUAUAUGUAUGAUACACUAUUGAAAUAACCAGAGAAACCCUCAUCCUACCAAGCAUGUAUUCAUAGAAAAAUGAGAUGACCGUCACCUUAAAUUCUGCUUUCUCAGGGAGGUCUUGAUUGACUAAAUGUUCGAAUUUUAAAUUAGC
rnacentral:lncRNA from 1 species